UACGAAGGGUGCAAGCGUUACUCGGAAUUACUGGGCGUAAAGCGUGCGCAGGUGGUUCGUUAAGUCUGAUGUGAAAGCCCUGGGCUCAACCUGGGAAUGGCAUUGGAUACUGGCGACCUAGAGUGCGGUAGAGGGGUGUGGAAUUCCCGGUGUAGCAGUGAAAUGCGUAGAUAUCGGGAGGAACAUCUGUGGCGAAGGCGACACCCUGGACCAGCACUGACACUGAGGCACGAAAGCGUGGGGAGCAAACAGG
rnacentral:rRNA from 1 species